rnacentral:lncRNA from 1 species
GUCUUUAACCUCCUCUUGAGAAUGGCCUUUCAUGAAUGCAAAGACCUCAAUUUUCUCAAAAUCUUAUGUGACUAUACGGCCUCAAAUUAUCCAACUAUUGCAGUAUGAAACUAGCAUGAAUAGGGUACUUUGCACUUAGCUUUUGAUCAAGUAAACACUAGCAAGAGCUUGCAAAAUAAACACGAGUAACAAUACAUGUGAGUCCCACAUGAGUGAAGUUCACUGAGAGAAUGUAUCAAUUGUUUUUUCUGCUGUGAGUGACUUUUGGUGACUGAAGAAGUGAAGUGCAGUGAAGUGCUUGAUCUCAAUGUUAGCCAAGCUUUCACUCUUGCAUCUUUUGCGUGGUUGACAUUGGGUAUUUUCA